rnacentral:rRNA from 1 species
UACAGAGGUCUCAAGCGUUGUUCGGAUUCAUUGGGCGUAAAGGGUGCGUAGGUGGCGCCGUAAGUGGGGUGUGAAAUCUCGGGGCUUAACUCCGAAACUGCAUUCCAUACUGCGGUGCUCGAGGACUUGGAGAGGAGACUGGAAUUCAUGGUGUAGCAGUGAAAUGCGUAGAGAUCAUGAGGAAGACCAGUGGCGAAGGCGGGUCUCUGGACAGUUCCUGACACUGAGGCACGAAGGCCAGGGGAGCAAACGGG